rnacentral:rRNA from 1 species
GACGAACUGCCCAAACGUUGUUCGGAAUCACUGGGCUUAAAGGGUGCGUAGGCGGCCAUGUAAGUGAGGUGUGAAAUCCCUCGGCUCAACCGAGGAACUGUGCUUCAUACUGCAUGGCUUGAGGGAGACAGGGGUAAGCGGAACUGAUGGUGGAGCGGUGAAAUGCGUUGAUAUCAUCAGGAACACCGGUGGCGAAAGCGGCUUACUGGGUCUCUUCUGACGCUGAGGUACGAAAGCUAGGGUAGCGAACGGG